CUGUGUCGCAAUCAUGUUGGUCAAUUUAUAUGUGUUGAUUGCUUAUUUAUCACGAUCGCAUGGACUUGGAGUCACGAUCGCAAUGAGCAAAUUUUACUGACACAGAAUCUUUUCCAAAAAAUUGGGGUUUUCUCCUCGUUUCAUCAUUUUCAAUGUUAGGAUCUCGGUAGAGGCAAUUUGAAAGUUGUUUUUCAAGAUUCCUCGAUUGGGGAAAUGGUUUUGGAAAUGUUGAAGGGAAAUGGUUCCGACAAUGUCGAAGGAAAAUAGGUUUGGCAAAACUGACGGGAAAUUGUUCUUGCAACUGAUGAGUAUGUCGAAGAGAAAUGAUUCCAAUGGAUACAUGUACCUUGUGAGUCCUGCAUAAGUCCGAACCUAGUAAUAGCGGGAGUGUAUCGUAAUGACGCACACUAUCAUGACGUUGCACUUUAUUUCAUUACACAUCAUUGCCAUUAUGUAAUCUUUGAGAGUGUUUCGUUAUAGACAUUGUACUUAUUGAAUAUGAAACAAUGUGAUGAUGACCUAUA